CUCAGCUUUGGUUUAGAGCAAAGGAUAGAUUAGCUGGUGGGUCUUACUGACAGGCUAGUGAUGGAGCGGUGAAGAUAAGAGGCAAUUUGAUGGUCAAUGCUGUGAUGAGUGAAAGUCUUCCAGAGAGCGAAAGAAGACUCACAUGCCAACUUUUAAAAUUUCAAGAUCUAUAAAUAAACAAGAUUUAUGCUCAAGAUCUACGUUAUUAAUUGAUUUCAAACUCUAUCGUAGAACAUCCAAAAAUCAAUUUUGAACCUAAAAAUCGUAUACUUUACGAAGACGUUCCGGAUUUGACCCUGUAGGAGGAAGAAUUAAGUUGAUGUUUUUUUUCUUUUUGUAAAAAUCUCUACUUAUAAAAUCAAUGGAAUGAAAGAUGGGACGUUUGAACUUAAAAAAAGCGUGAAUUUCUUUUUUAUUUCAAGAUAUAUGAAGAGUACAUGUACUUUUUAGUCAAUAGGGAAGAGAUAUGGAAUCGACCCUAUAGACAUCUACAUGGUCGUGUCCUUCGAACAACUUUAAAGAAAAACCUGGGUGGACCUCAUCCUUUCCCUUCAAGAUGGUUCUCAUUAAUAAUUCUUGGUUGAGAAUGGGGUUAACGGACCA